rnacentral:rRNA from 1 species
GAUGAACGCUGGCGGCGUGCCUAACACAUGCAAGUCGAGCGAUCUUCUUCGGAAGAGAGCGGCGGACGGGUGAGUAACGCGUGGGUAACCUGCCCUGUACACACGGAUAACAUACCGAAAGGUAUGCUAAUACGGGAUAAUAUGCUUCUAUCGCAUGGUAGAAGUGUCAAAGCUCCGGCGGUACAGGAUGGACCCGCGUCUGAUUAGCUAGUUGGUAAGGUAACGGCUUACCAAGGCGACGAUCAGUAGCCGACCCGAGAGGGUGAUCGGCCACAUUGGAACUGAGACACGGUCCAAACUCCUACGGGAGGCAGCAGUGGGGAAUAUUGCACAAUGGGCGAAAGCCUGAUGCAGCAACGCCGCGUGAGCGAUGAAGGCCUUCGGGUCGUAAAGCUCUGUCCUCAAGGAAGAUAAUGACGGUACUUGAGGAGGAAGCCCCGGCUAACUACGUGCCAGCCGCCGCGGUAA